GGCUGGAAGGGUGCCUUCUCCUCCUUCACAGCCUCCUGUACCACGUCCCCCUGAAGUUGUGCACUCAGCCGAAUAGUAUGACCUUUCCAUAUAGAGAAGGAUCACCCUGUGGCCAAUGAUCUACAAGUAGCUGUCUUCCUAAUGGAAGUCUAUUAACAAGUCCUAUCUGGAAACACUUCCUUCCUUGAUGCCUUUCAAGGUGCAAUCAGGA
rnacentral:sRNA from 1 species